CAUUAUGGCGGGCUGUGCGCGGGACACUUUCGAGUGUGCCGGGUUAUCUGUGUCCCGGUUGUCCAACCUGCGUACAGUUCGCCACCCUU
rnacentral:antisense_RNA from 1 species